rnacentral:rRNA from 1 species
UACGUAGGGUGCAGGCGUUAAUCGGAAUUACUGGGCGUAAAGCGUGCGCAGGCAGCGCGUUAAGACAGGUGUGAAAGCCCCCGAGCUUAACUUGGGAAUUGCGCUUGUGACUGGCGUGCUGGAGUGUGGCAGAGGGAGGUGGAAUUCCACGUGUAGCAGUGAAAUGCGUAGAGAUGUGGAGGAACACCGAUGGCGAAGGCAGCCUCCUGGGCCAGCACUGACGCUCAUGCACGAAAGCGUGGGGAGCAAACAGG